rnacentral:rRNA from 1 species
CCUACGGGAGGCAGCAGUGGGGAAUUUUGGACAAUGGGCGCAAGCCUGAUCCAGCAAUGCCGCGUGAGUGAAGAAGGCCUUCGGGUUGUAAAGCUCUUUUGUCAGGGAAGAAACGGUGGGAGCUAAUAUCUUCCACUAAUGACGGUACCUGAAGAAUAAGCACCGGCUAACUACGUGCCAGCAGCCGCGGUAAUACGUAGGGUGCAAGCGUUAAUCGGAAUUACUGGGCGUAAAGCGUGCGCAGGCGGUUUUGUAAGUCUGUCGUGAAAGCCCCGGGCUCAACCUGGGAAUUGCGAUGGAGACUGCAAGGCUUGAAUCUGGCAGAGGGGGGUAGAAUUCCACGUGUAGCAGUGAAAUGCGUAGAGAUGUGGAGGAACACCGAUGGCGAAGGCAGCCCCCUGGGUCAAGAUUGACGCUCAUGCACGAAAGCGUGGGGAGCAAACAGGAUUAGAUACCCUGGUAGUCCACGCCCUAAACGAUGUCUACUAGUUGUCGGGUUUUAAUUAACUUGGUAACGCAGCUAACGCGUGAAGUAGACCGCCUGGGGAGUACGGUCGCAAGNUUAAAACGUUAAUGAAUUGACGG